UCUAUUUGAUUUUCUUUUGUCCUUACGCCGAUGUAAAUCCAAUAGUUCCAUUUGACUUCUUCUUCAUCAAUCGGCAUAGCAUGUUAUUUUCUCUCUUUGACACACACAAAUUCCGCGCCGCCAACUUGAUAAAGCCCUAUUGGAUAAAGCCCUAUUCUCUCUUCACACACACAAAUUUACCUAAACCCUAGAAAAUCUUUUCUUUCCGACAAUCUCCGAAAAUCUCGUUGCCUCUUUAAUCCAUUUUCUUUCCUUUCUCUUCAAUUCCCUUUUUUGUUCGAUUGAUACAGAUUUUCACAUCAUUCGCAUUCAAUUCUGUAGGUGAAUCAUGCAUUGUUGGUGACAAAAUGGUGUCUGGGAUUCGUUCUGGAAAUCUGAACUGUGACAAGACAAAAAAGAAAAAUAUUAGGAAAAAUUCAUUUGUGGAAGUGUGAAGGAAAGAAGGCGCACCAAUUGCUGUGACAAGACAAAAAAGAAAAAUGUUAGGAAAAAUUCAUUUGUGGAAGUGUCAACUGGAAAUAAGGCGCACCAAUUGCAGGGUUUCCUUCAAAAUGAUGGUUUCACCUACCUGAAAGCAAUCAAAUUAAAUAUUGAUAACACUUUGUGCGAGCUGGAAAUAAUUAUCAGAAGUUGUCUCGAUGCAAGGGCUAUGAAAGCUGGUAAAGCUGACGAGGCUAAAAGGGAGGAGAAGGAAAGAGUUGCAAGGCUGCAUGAUAAAGAUAAGGGCAGAGUUGAACACCAAAUCAGAGCUGAUGAAUCUUUUUCACAAAAGAUAGCAGAAGCAUGACAAAUGAUCAUUUGUGGGAGAGAGAGAGACGCUGCCCGACUACGUCUGCAGAAGUUUCAGUUGGAGAAGACUGUAGAGUUUGAGGACAAUCUGCAAAUUGUCCAAUACUUUGCGAACCUAAGAGUAUCUGAAUCAAGUAAACCGUUGGAGUUGUUGGGUUUGUUUCUAAAGGAGGAUGACUUCUACAUGGAUGAGGAGGUGGUGGAUGUAGAGGAGGGAGAGAUAUUGGGAUAAGUUUCGAACCAGAAUAGCUUCCAACGCCAUUCAUUUUUUUCAGCGAUUGGAAUCCGUCCAUUCUUUACAACUGUAAAAGAAAAUUUUGCAAAUGGAGAUGUAUAUGUAUACUGCUGCAGAAAACUGAGAAAUAGCACAAGGCUAAAGCUUGCCUGAAAUAGCACAAGGCUAUAGCUUGCCUCUUAUGUUCAGAAAGAUUGCCACUGUAAUUUUUUUUGGUGCUACUUUGGCAAGGUGUAUUUUGACUUUUGCUUGCUUAGUUCCUCUUUGUUGAGUGGCCAUGUGCCUUGUUUGUGAAUUGUAUAAAAAUUCAACUGUAACUAUUUUUAUCUCAAGUUAAUAAAAUCAUGACACUGUUUCUUCUCCUCUGA